rnacentral:rRNA from 1 species
CCUACGGGAGGCAGCAGUGGGGGAUAUUGCACAAUGGGGGAAACCCUGAUGCAGCGACGCCGCGUGGGUGAAGAAGCGCCUCGGCGCGUAAAGCCCUGUCAGCAGGGAAGAAAAUGACGGUACCUGAAGAAGAAGCCCCGGCUAACUACGUGCCAGCAGCCGCGGUAAUACGUAGGGGGCAAGCGUUAUCCGGAUUUACUGGGUGUAAAGGGGGCGCAGACGGCGAUGCAAGCCAGGAGUGAAAGCCCGGGGCCCAACCCCGGGACUGCUCUUGGAACUGCGUGGCUAGAGUGCAGGAGGGGCAGGCAGAAUUCCUGGUGUAGCGGUGAAAUGCGUAAAUAUCAGGAGGAACACCGGUGGCGAAGGCGGCCUGCUGGACUGCAACUGACGUUGAGGCCCGAAAGCGUGGGGAGCAAACAGGAUUAGAUACCCCAGUAGUC